rnacentral:rRNA from 1 species
AUUGAACGCUGGCGGCAUGCCUUACACAUGCAAGUCGAACGGUAACGGGCCUUCGGGUGCCGACGAGUGGCGAACGGGUGAGUAAUACAUCGGAACGUUCCCGAUCGUGGGGGAUAACGAGGCUAAAGCUUUGCUAAUACCGCAUACGAUCUACGGAUGAAAGCAGGGGACCGCAAGGCCUUGCGCGGACGGAGCGGCCGAUGGCAGAUUAGGUAGUUGGUGGGAUAAAAGCUUACCAAGCCGACGAUCUGUAGCUGGUCUGAGAGGAUGAUCAGCCACACUGGGACUGAGACACGGCCCAGACUCCUACGGGAGGCAGCAGUGGGGAAUUUUGGACAAUGGGCGCAAGCCUGAUCCAGCCAUGCCGCGUGCAGGAUGAAGGCCUGCGGGUUGUAAACUGCUUUUGUACGGAACGAAAAGCCUUCUUUUAAUACAGGAGGGUCAUGACGGUACCGUAAGAAUAAGCACCGGCUAACUACGUG